UUUUGCGAUUUAUUUUGAUCACAGUAGUGAUGAUGAAAAACCCUGUGAAAGUGAAGGAAAUCAUAGCCAUUAUCUGUUUUUAAUCUAGACUACCCACAGAUAUCAUUAAAAAGUCGUCGCAUCGGUGUAUCGAUAGGAAUAUUAGAAGACCAAUCAACAAAUUUGAUAUUGAUUGCAAUAUUUCUAACCCACUUGUGGAUGUAAUCUCUUUUUCUAUUAUAUUUGUGCAUGUCAGCCGUCGCAUGUCUAGCUCGAACUCAACAUUCCUCAUAAAACAUGAAUCUUCUUCGUCAUGC
rnacentral:misc_RNA from 1 species